rnacentral:rRNA from 1 species
CCUACGGGAGGCAGCAGUGGGGAAUUUUGGACAAUGGGCGCAAGCCUGAUCCAGCAAUGCCGCGUGAGUGAAGAAGGCCUUCGGGUUGUAAAGCUCUUUUGUCAGGGAAGAAACGGUGGGGGCUAAUAUCUCCUACUAAUGACGGUACCUGAAGAAUAAGCACCGGCUAACUACGUGCCAGCAGCCGCGGUAAUACGUAGGGUGCAAGCGUUAAUCGGAAUUACUGGGCGUAAAGCGUGCGCAGGCGGUUUUGUAAGUCUGUCGUGAAAGCCCCGGGCUCAACCUGGGAAUUGCGAUGGAGACUGCAAGGCUUGAAUCUGGCAGAGGGGGGUAGAAUUCCACGUGUAGCAGUGAAAUGCGUAGAGAUGUGGAGGAACACCGAUGGCGAAGGCAGCCCCCUGGGUCAAGAUUGACGCUCAUGCACGAAAGCGUGGGGAGCAAACAGGAUUAGAUACCCUGGUAGUCCACGCCCUAAACGAUGUCUACUAGUUGUCGGGUUUUAAUUAACUUGGUAACGCAGCUAACGCGUGAAGUAGACCGCCUGGGGAUACGGUCGCAAGNUUAAAACUCAAAGGAAUUGACGG